UACGUAGGGAGCGAGCGUUGUUCGGAAUUACUGGGCGUAAAGAGUGUGUAGGCGGUGCUGUAAGUUCGGUGUGAAAUCUCCUGGCUCAACUGGGAGGGUGCGCCGGAAACUGGAGUGCUUGAGCGUGGGAGAGGAAAGCGGAAUUCCUGGUGUAGCGGUGAAAUGCGUAGAUAUCAGGAGGAACACCUGUGGUGUAGACGGCUUUCUGGACCAUAGCUGACGCUGAGACACGAAAGCGUGGGUAGCAAACAGG
rnacentral:rRNA from 1 species